GCAAGUCGAGCGCGAAAUCACUUCGUUGAGAGUAGAGCGGCGUACGGGUGAGUAACGCGUAAGAAUCUACCUAGUAGUGGGGGACAACUCGGGGAAACUCGAGCUAAUUCCUCAUACGCCCUACGGGGGAAAGCGGGGGACCUUCGGGCCUCGCGCUAUUAGAUGAGCUGGCGUUGGAUUAGCUUGUGGGUGAGGUAAUGGCUCACCAAGGCGACGAUCCAUAGCUGGUCUGAGAGGAUGAUC
rnacentral:rRNA from 1 species